AAAACUAGUAAACACAAUAACAGUCUCUAAGCUGCCGACGGGGCGGAGACACAACGACUACCACUCCUAGUUACCGCCAGCGUCGGCUCAUCCACCGCGGUCAACUGCGUACCCAUCGACUGUCCACAACUCUUCCAAUAAUCCAAGGUCUCAUCAUUAUAAAUCUCCCACCACAUAUUCACCAGCAUCUUAAUAUCUUCCCUAUCCAUAUUCACAUCUUUCCCGGUAUACCUCCACGGCUUCGACCCGUCGGCACAGUAAUGCACCACCUUCACCUUCUUAACAUCCACAUUCUCCGGGUGCCGCCACAACAUCGCCAAUAUUAAAUUGUAUUCUGUUGGAAUAGGCUUGUAAACAUCCUUAAAGAACAUGUUUAAGAAAUCUUGCUCUGCGAAUAGUGUCGGCUGGGUGAUUUUAACCGACGAAAGAAGGUUGUUGUAGGUGGAGAGAUUGGGCUCGAACACGAACAUUCCGGCGUUGAAGUAUAAGGAGGGUUUUGGGCCCAACUGGUUAUCCGGCCAGUGGACUUUUUCGGGUGCUUGUUGACAGUACCCGAUUUGGUACUGUGGACUGUUUCUCCAGUUUCGCUCGCAGAAACAGUCCAUGACGGCGUAGAAGUGGCCGUCGGGUAAGUCGAACAGAUGGUCUAUGUUGUCGAAAACUUGUAUGUCCCCAUCCAAGUAUAUCAUCUUGCUGUACUCCACAAACUGUAAAUAUAUAACAUUAAGUUAUUAAUCGCGUAACUGAUAGUCAUGUAAAUGAAUUGAACGUUCAUGAAUCGUUCUGUAGAAGGUUCACUAACGUUCCUUUCAUUUAAAAAAAAUCUACUUAAUAACAAUUAAUUUUUGUUCAUUGAUUUUUUUCUUUUUGAAGUGCAAGAUCAUGUUUAAACUUAAAAAAAAAAAGAUGCCUCUGGCUAGUAACUAGAGACAAACAAUGGAUCGAUUACACAAUGAACAUGAAUAAAUAUCUAGUUUGUUCACUUAUGCCCUUUUAUAUAUAUUCAUCCGCGUAUGUUUGUAUUUGUAAGUGAUUAUUUAAUAUUAAUUUAAAUUGGUUUGACGUUAGUAUUUUAAACCCUUUGUUAGAUAUGUUUGUUUAAUUUUGAAAUAUUUGAUGUAGUGAUUAUGGUAUUUUAGACUUUAAUUUGACUAUUUACAUUUAAGUAACUUGUCCGUUUACGUGAGCUUUAUAAUAUUAACAAAUGAACAUGUAACCCUCAUUUUCUAAAUAAACAAGCAGAAAAAGAAAACCUACUCAUUUUAGUGAUCGUGUUCGUUCGUUUCUUCAAUUUAAAAUAAACAAACAAACACGAACAAGCUGUCUAAAUAAACAGAAAUGACUACCUUCCAAAUACGGAGCUUGGAGUAAUUAAUAACAUAAUAGGCCAUGGCGAACUUAGUCUGGUUUUCGGGCGGGUACAAGGGUUCAAUCUCCCGGAUGAUGCACCCUUGAGAGAUCAAUUUUCGACGGUGAUCCAUAGGAACAUCGGGCAGAAUUGCAACUACAAGCGGGUAGACCGACUUGACCUUGCGAAGACCCUUGGCAAGAGCAACCACACCCUUCCAGUAGUCACCAUCUCCUGCCAAGAAGGUGACGUAGGCACGGGUCUUGGCCUUCCCAUUGGUGACGUUACUAUCAACGGUUGGCGCCAUGGUUGUUGCAGGCGGUGAUAGAAGUUGAGUGUUUUUGUAUGGUUUGUUGGUGGUUGUGGACUUGGGGAGGUGUAGGGUUUAUAUAGGAAUGGGUGGUCAAAAAAUUCAACAAUGAAACCGACUAAUAAAAAAGAUAUAUGUUAUUAUUAUAAUGUUUUCAGAAUUGUAUUCGGAGUUUACAUUUCUAUUAUUUAUCUUUUGUUACUAUUAUCAUUAUUAAUAAUGUUGUUAUGAUUGUC
rnacentral:lncRNA from 1 species